GUAUGCAUCACCUGCAGAUCUUGUCAGCAUGCAGAUUCUGACUCUAGGUUUGAAUGCCUGAGAGUCUGCAUUUCUGACAAACUCCCAGGUGACAGUAAU
rnacentral:miRNA from 1 species